GCACGGGAGCAAUCCUGGUGGCGAGUGGCGAACGGGUGAGUAAUAUAUCGGAACGUGCCCAGUCGUGGGGGAUAACGUAGAGAAAUUUACGCUAAUACCGCAUACGAUCUAAGGAUGAAAGCGGGGGACCGUAAGGCCUCGCGCGAUUGGAGCGGCUGAUAUCAGAUUAGGUUGUUGGUGAGGUAAAAGCUCACCAAGCCGACGAUCUGUAGCUGGUUUGAGAGAACGACCAGCCACACUGGGACUGAGACACGGCCCAGACUCCUACGGGAGGCAGCAGUGGGGAAUUUUGGACAAUGGGCGAAAGCCUGAUCCAGCAAUGCCGCGUGCAGGAAGAAGGCCUUCGGGUUGUAAACUGCUUUUGUACGGAACGAAAAGGCCUGCCUUAAUACGGCGGGCCCAUGACGGUACCGUAAGAAUAAGCACCGGCUAACUACGUGCCAGCAGCCGCGGUAAUACGUAGGGUGCGAGCGUUAAUCGGAAUUACUGGGCGUAAAGCGUGCGCAGGCGGUGAUGUAAGACAGUUGUGAAAUCCCCGGGCUCAACCUGGGAAUUGCAUCUGUGACUGCAU
rnacentral:rRNA from 1 species